rnacentral:rRNA from 1 species
UACGUAGGGGGCGAGCGUUGUCCGGAUUUAUUGGGCGUAAAGAGCUCGUAGGCGGUUUGGCAAGUCGCGUGUGAAAGCCCCCGGCUCAACUGAGGAACUGCACAGGAAACUGCUUGGCUUGAGUUCGGGAGAGGGAAGCGGAAUUCCGGGUGUAGCGGUGAAAUGCGCAGAUAUCAGGAGGAACACCGGUGGCGAAGGCGGGUCUCUGGGCCGAUACUGACGCUGAGGAGCGAAAGCGUGGGGAGCGAACAGG